GUGCUUAUAUCUGUCACGCGGAUUUGUUGAACAUCAGAGAUUGCAAGGCAGGCAGGCAG
rnacentral:pre_miRNA from 1 species